AGAAACAUUUUACCAUUGCUCAACUUUACAUAAACAAAACAAGCAAAACACACAUACUUUAUGUUAGAAGCCAUUAGCAGAUCAUUGGAGGAGAGGAGGUUUAACCUGUGGGUUUUGUUUUAGGUCAUUUCAUGCAGCCAUUACCAGAAGAAGUUCGUACAGAGGAAACAAAUAUGCUCCAUAAGAGUCAGCCCAUUGUGCGCUUCCAAUAAUGUUACAUAUCCUAAUUCCUGCGUGUACUGUUUCGCCAACGGAGCUUUGAAUCUCACUCUUCAAAUCCAAUACAGUGGAAAAUGUCUGAAGUCCACUUCCUGAUUAUCUUCAUUCAGCAUAAGUGAGACACUUAGAGCAAGCAUCAUCUUUUCUUCGUAAGGCAAAGUUUGUUAUUAUUAUCUUGUUUAAAAAUCAAUAAAAUUUUAUCAUUU
rnacentral:lncRNA from 1 species